AUAUUUCCACAACCAAGGAGAGCUAUUAUAAAGACAUCAGGCGCAUGUAGGCUACAGCUGCCAUCUUGGAUCAUGUUGCAUCAGCUAUGGAAGGAACACAGCUCUCCAACCUUCAGUGUGAACUGAACCCCGAAAGGAACAUCACUGAAGUUUUGAAAUGUCUGUCUGUCUGAUUCAUAAAGAUCAACUUUCAACUUUGUUUAUGAGGGGUAGGGUAAAGCCAACCCUUAAGGAGUGCCUCCUGUAGAAAACUGGGACAAAAGAAACUGGACUGACAUUGAGCAUUUGUGGGCCACAAAGAGUCAAAGAAAAACAGACAUUUCAACCUGAAGACCGGAGCCCUAGGACCAUGCCUCAGGACUACCUGGCCUGAUGACUCCUUGCUGUCCCCA